GCAGUGUACCCGCGGCAAGACGGAAAGACCCCGUGAACCUUUACUAUAGCUUGACACUGAACAUUGAGCCUUGAUGUGUAGGAUAGGUGGGAGGCUUUGAAGCGUGGACGCCAGUCUGCGUGGAGCCGACCUUGAAAUACCACCCUUUAAUGUUUGAUGUUCUAACGUGGACCCGUAAUCCGGGUUGCGGACAGUGUCUGGUGGGUAGUUUGACUGGGGCGGUCUCCUCCUAAAGAGUAACGGAGGAGCACGAAGGUUGGCUAAUCCUGGUCGGACAUCAGGAGGUUAGUGCAAUGGCAUAAGCCAGCUUGACUGCGAGCGUGACGGCGCGAGCAGGUGCGAAAGCAGGUCAUAGUGAUCCGGUGGUUCUGAAUGGAAGGGCCAUCGCUCAACGGAUAAAAGGUACUCCGGGGAUAACAGGCUGAUACCGCCCAAGAGUUCAUAUCGACGGCGGUGUUUGGCACCUCGAUGUCGGCUCAUCACAUCCUGGGGCUGAAGUAGGUCCCAAGGGUAUGGCUGUUCGCCAUUUAAAGUGGUACGCGAGCUGGGUUUAGAACGUCGUGAGACAGUUCGGUCCCUAUCUGCCGUGGGCGCUGGAGAACUGAGGGGGGCUGCUCCUAGUACGAGAGGACCGGAGUGGACGCAUCACUGGUGUUCGGGUUGUCAUGCCAAUGGCACUGCCCGGUAGCUAAAUGCGGAAGAGAUAAGUGCUGAAAGCAUCUAAGCACGAAACUUGCCCCGAGAUGAGUUCUCCCUGAGACUUAGAGUCUCCUGAAGGAACGUUGAAGACGACGACGUUGAUAGGCCGGGUGUGUAAGCGCAGCGAUGCGUUGAGCUAACCGGUACUAAUGAACCGUGAGGCUUAACCUUACA
rnacentral:rRNA from 1 species